rnacentral:rRNA from 1 species
UACAUGCAGUCGAGCGCAGGAGCUGUCCUGAACCCUUCGGGGGACGGACGGUGGAAUGAGCGGCGGACGGGUGAGUAACACGUAAAGAACCUGCCCAUAGGUCUGGGAUAACCACGAGAAAUCGGGGCUAAUACCGGAUGUGUCAUCGGACCGCAUGGUCCGCUGAUGAAAGGCGCUUCGGCGUCGCCCAUGGAUGGCUUUGCGGUGAAUUAGCUAGUUGGUGGGGUAUCGGCCCACCAGGGCGACGAUCCAUAGCCGACCUGAGAGGGGACCGCCCACACUGGGCCUGAGCACGCCCCAGACAAUACGGGGGCUGCGUACGGAAUUCUCAAAUGAGGA